rnacentral:lncRNA from 1 species
UUGUUUUCUCGCAUAUGUAUUACACUUGUGAGAAUGCAAGAUUACCAUAUGCUAAGGAAAUCACCAAAAUUUUGGAAUGUUUUGAUGUUAAUUUUGGUAGGGAAAUACAUUUCUCUCUUCAAAAGGAACAUAUUUUGGACCUCAAUAUACUCAACGGAAUGGGUAUUAUAUGGGAUGAAGAAUAUCAAGCUUAUAUUCAUAGAAGUGAUCUAGUUGGUGGUGACGACUCUUG